rnacentral:misc_RNA from 1 species
UGCAAGGGAUAUUAACACUACGAAUUUGCCGGUUUUUCAGCUGGAAAAUUCCGGGUCUUCGCUAUCUUCUGGUGCUAUUGCUGGAAUUGUUAUUGGUUCUGUGGUUGCUGUGUUGGGUUGUUUAUUUGUAUUUUAUUGGUUUUGGUGGCGUAAGAAGGAAGAAGAUGAUGUGAUUGAAGAUUGGGAACUUGAUUACUGGCCUCAUCGAUUUUCAAAUGAAGAGCUUAGCCAAGCUACAAAAGGGUUCUCUAAAGAUGAGCUACUUGGAGCUGGUGGAUUCGGUAAAGUAUACAAGGGAACAUUAGCUAAUAACACAGAAGUGGCAGUGAAAUGUGUGAACCAUGACUCAAGACAAGGAAUUAAG